UACGUAGGGUGCGAGCGUUAAUCGGAAUUACUGGGCGUAAAGGGUGCGUAGGCGGCCAUGUAAGUGAGGUGUGAAAUCCCUCGGCUCAACCGAGGAACUGCGCUUCAUACUGCAUGGCUUGAGGGAGACAGGGGUAAGCGGAACUGAUGGUGGAGCGGUGAAAUGCGUUGAUAUCAUCAGGAACACCGGUGGCGAAAGCGGCUUACUGGGUCUCUUCUGACGCUGAGGUACGAAAGCUAGGGUAGCGAACGGG
rnacentral:rRNA from 1 species